rnacentral:rRNA from 1 species
CUAGCCGUAAACGAUGGAUACUAGGCGUUGUGAGUAUCGACCCUCACAGUGCCGUAGCUAACGCGUUAAGUAUCCCGCCUGGGGAGUACGCGCGCAAGCGUGAAACUCAAAGGAAUUGACGGGGGCCCGCACAAGCGGUGGAGUAUGUGGUUUAAUUCGAUGCAACGCGAAGAACCUUACCAGGACUUGACAUGUCGCGAAUCUCAGGGAAACUUGAGAGUGCCUUCGGGAGCGCGAACACAGGUGGUGC